GAUGAACGCUGGCGGCGUGCCUAAUACAUGCAAGUCGAGCGAAUGGAUUAAGAGCUUGCUCUUAUGAAGUUAGCGGCGGACGGGUGAGUAACACGUGGGUAACCUGCCCAUAAGACUGGGAUAACUCCGGGAAACCGGGGCUGAUACCGGAUAACAUUUUGAACCGCAUGGUUCGAAAUUGAAAGGCGGCUUCGGCUGUCACUUAUGGAUGGACCCGCGUCGCAUUAGCUAGUUGGUGAGGUAACGGCUCACCAAGGCAACGAUGCGUAGCCGACCUGAGAGGGUUAUCGGCCACACUGGGACUGAGACACGGCCCAGACUCCUACGGGAGGCAGCAGUAGGGAAUCUUCCGCAAUGGACGAAAGUCUGACGGAGCAACGCCGCGUGAGUGAUGAAGGCUUUCGGGUCGUAAAACUCUGUUGUUAGGGAAGAACAAGUGCUAGUUGAAUAAGCUGGCACCUUGACGGUACCUAACCAGAAAGCCACGGCUAACUACGUGCCAGCAGCCGCAGUAA
rnacentral:rRNA from 1 species